GCUUCUAUAGCACAGUUGGUAGUGCACUUCACUCGUAAUGAAGGGGUCAUCGGUUCGAGUCCGAUUAGAAGCU
rfam:Shuttleworthia satelles DSM 14600 genomic scaffold Scfld0, whole genome shotgun sequence.